rnacentral:lncRNA from 1 species
CCCGCAGGUCCCUUGGCCUCCAGCUGCUGUGCGUGGGGGCUCUGGAGUCCUCUUUUCUCUAAGGAGCUUUGCAUCCCAAGCCAGCAAGCUAUGCAAUGUUUCCUGGGGUUGUAACCAGAGUCUGAGUGGAAGCGUUCUCCUGGCAGUUACAGCCCAGAGAAGGUAUGCUGAGUCCUGCUCGUGGUUGUGCCACAACUCCUGUCCUCCUGGGGCUGGCCACUGUGCCAGAGCUCAUGAAUAUUGCUGAAUGGUAAAUCAGUUGAGUCCUGUGAAUCCUUCAUCUCCCAGCCAAGAUUUCUGCCACUCAUAUUUAGCCAAAGACUCCAGACAAUGGAACCAGAGACUGUCCCGAAACGCAGGCCUCCUCCCGCGCACGCAUGUCAAAGUUAGGGCUUCGGCCUCUGCCCUGCCUGCUCUUCGCCACCCGCCGGGCCUCAGCCCUGCUGCAGUCAAAACGGAAGACUUCUCCUCUCAAGAAUGGUGGCCGCUCAAGCAAUGGGGACUUUAAAGCUGCCAUGUACAAAGAAAGUGACCAACCAGACCCUUCAAAACAGAAGCCUUGGAGUAGAGUGAAGGGGUACUUACCCAGAUCACCCAGAGAUGCUUCUGAGAAGUGGUCCUGACCCCCUGGUAUUGCCUACAAGGCCCUUCAUGACCUGGUCCCUGCCUGUCCCUCACCCCAUCCUGCCAUCUCCUCUAUGCUCCAGCCACACCAAACAUCCACAAGGUCCCCAAACAAUCAGUCCCCCUUUCCUGCUUCAUUCCCUCAAUAUAAAGUAUUCUUC